AGUGAACGCUGGCGGUAGGCCUAACACAUGCAAGUCGAACGGCAGCACAGUAAGGGCUUGCUCUUACGGGUGGCGAGUGGCGGACGGGUGAGGAAUACAUCGGAAUCUACUUUUUCGUGGGGGAUAACGUAGGGAAACUUACGCUAAUACCGCAUACGACCUACGGGUGAAAGCAGGGGAUCUUCGGACCUUGCGCGAUUGAAUGAGCCGAUGUCGGAUUAGCUAGUUGGCGGGGUAAAGGCCCACCAAGGCGACGAUCCGUAGCUGGUCUGAGAGGAUGAUCCGCCACACUGGAACUGAGACACGGUCCAGACUCCUACGGGAGGCAGCAGUGGGGAAUAUUGGACAAUGGGCGCAAGCCUGAUCCAGCCAUACCGCGUGGGUGAAGAAGGCCUUCGGGUUGUAAAGCCCUUUUGUUGGGAAAGAAAAGCAGCAGGUUAAUACCCCGCUGUUCUGACGGUACCCAAAGAAUAAGCACCGGCUAACUUCGUG
rnacentral:rRNA from 1 species